GCCGUGGUAGCUCAGCCUGGUGGAGCGUCGGACUCAUAAUCCGAAGGUCACGGGUUCAAAUCCCGCCCACGGCA
rnacentral:tRNA from 1 species